rnacentral:rRNA from 1 species
GAUGAACGCUAGCGGCAGGCCUAAUACAUGCAAGUCGAGGGGCAGCGGGAGUAGCAAUACUUGCCGGCGACCGGCGCACGGGUGCGUAACACGUAUGCAAUCUACCCAUUACUGGAAGAUAGCCCGGAGAAAUCCGGAUUAAUACUCCAUAAUACUUCUGAACGGCAUCGUUUGGUUUUUAAAGAUUUAUCGGUAAUGGAAGAGCAUGCGGCUGAUUAGCUAGUUGGUGAGGUAAUGGCUCACCAAGGCGACGAUCAGUAGGGGACCUGAGAGGGUGAUCCCCCACACGGGUACUGAGAUACGGACCAGACUCCUACGGGAGGCAGCAGUAGGGAAUAUUGGGCAAUGGAGGCAACUCUGACCCAGCCAUGCCGCGUGCAGGAAGACGGCCUUCUGGGUUGUAAACUGCUUUUGAUCGGGAACAAAGAGCCCUUGCGAGGGAAGUUGAGUGUACCGAUAGAAUAAGCACCGGCUAACUCCGUGCCAGCCGCCGCCGUAAGAC